UACGUAGGGUGCGAGCGUUAAUCGGAAUUACUGGGCGUAAAGCGUGCGCAGGCGGUUCGUUAUGUCCGUUGUGAAAGCCCCGGGCUCAACCUGGGAAUGGCAAUGGAAACUGGCGAGCUAGAGUGUGGCAGAGGGGGGUGGAAUUCCGCGUGUAGCAGUGAAGUGCGUAGAGAUGCGGAGGAACACCGAUGGCGAAGGCAGCCCCCUGGGCUAGCACUGACGCUCAGGCACGAAAGCGUGGGGAGCAAACAGG
rnacentral:rRNA from 1 species